rnacentral:lncRNA from 1 species
GAGGUGAACUACUGUAACAGUUCAGUGUGUUCUAGUGUCUCUCUCUAUGUAGUGAACUACUGUAACAGUUCAGUGUGUUCUAGUGUCUCUCUCUAUGUAGUGAACUACUGUAACAGUUCAGUGUGUUAUAGUUUAUCUAGUAGGUGAAAUACUGUAACAGUUCAGUGUGUUACAGUGCCUCUACCCUUUUGGUGAAAUACUGUAACAGUUCAGUGUUUUAUAGUGUCUCUUGGAGGUGAACUACUGUAACAGUUCAGUGUAUUA